GACGAACGCUGGCGGCGUGCUUAAGACAUGCAAGUCGUACGAGAAAGUCUCUUCGGAGAUGAGUAAAGUGGCGCACGGGUGAGUAACGCGUGGGUAAUCUGCCCUUAGGUUUGGGAUAACCCCGGGAAACCGGAGCUAAUACCGAAUGAGACCACGAUGACUUCGGUCGAUGUGGGAAAAGGUGGCCUCUUCUUGAAAGCUAUCGCCAAAGGAUGAGCCCGCGUUUGAUUAGCUAGUUGGUGAGGUAAUGGCUCACCAAGGCUACGAUCAAUAGCUGGUCUGAGAGGACGAUCAGCCACACUGGAACUGAGACACGGUCCAGACUCCUACGGGAGGCAGCAGUGGGGAAUAUUGCGCAAUGGGCGAAAGCCUGACGCAGCGACGCCCGCGUGGGUGAUGAAGGCCUC
rnacentral:rRNA from 1 species